AAAUUUAUUGUCUGCUCAAAGCUUUGUUUUCAUUGUUAGUUGGUAUGUUACUGUCCCUUUAAGUAAAAGCCCAGUAGAACCCUGGGGGAGAGGAAGGAAGUGCAGACCUCCGGGAAUGCUGAGUCAUGUUUUAGGCCUAUCUCAAGCUGCAGGAAUAAUUCUGCAUGAAAAUAAAGUUAAGUUUUUCUUCCUUGGUUGGGGUGUAAAAAAAUAAAGCAAUGAAGAGAACUGUAGAGUUUCAGCAAGGUAACUGAAUUGAUCAGCAGCACAGUCUGAAAGAGAAACUGCAUUUUGGGUAGUACAUUCAUUUUCACUACUGAGAUUCUACUCAUCAGACCACAUGGAUGCUACCAUGUGGAGGAAGCAAAUUGGCAGGUGGAAGGUGAUUAUCUGGCAUCAGGAUGCUGUGAAGCAAUGAGAAGGCAAGUUUGCUUGCAGAAGCCAGUGGAUUUGCUGAGUGGGUGGCAAGUUUAUGGUCUGAAGCUGGCUGAUAUCCUUGGCAGAAGCUGACUGAUGUCCAAUGGCGGACCAAGCAGAUACGGUCGAGUAGCCGGAAGGUGACUGAUGUUUGGUAGUGGACCAAGCAGAAGCUGGCAGAUGUAGAUGGAUGGAUGCUGGUGGAAUUCACAUUCAGAAGCUGAUGGACCAGAUGGCUUUGGUAGCACUUUUUGUAAAGCUUUGCAGUAUCACCAUAUUUAACUUUGCUGUUUAAUAUCAUUUGGAGGGGUGGAGCCCUCCCAAACAUUUGUUCCCCAUUACCUAAACCAGGUAGAGAUCCUAAGGAAGUAGAAUCAUACAGAUGGAUCACCCUGUUCAACCAGGCCCCAACUUUUUUUUUACAUCAGUCAUGGCUUCCAGCAGGGUGAUCCAUACAAUUGUCAAUUCAGACCAAACCAGAUUUAUCCCAGGCAGACACAAUGCAGAUCACACAUGCAGGUUAGUCAAUAUAAUAUAUGACAGUAAUUAAGAGGAAGAAUCCCAGCCCUUUGGCAUUGGUGUCACUGGACAUUUACGAGGCCUUUGACUUUUUAGAAUGGAGGUACCUUUUUAAAGUUUUAGAACACUAUCAGAUGGACAAAACAUUCAUGACUACUAUCAGAGUCCUCUGUGCCUCUCACCAGGCCACUGUUAGCACAAUUGCUGUGAAUUUGAACUCUGUUCAUAUUGGCAAGUGAGCAAAACACUGGACAUUUACAAGGCCUUUGACUUUUUAGUAUGGAGGUACCUUUUUAAAGUUUUAGAACACUAUCAGAUGGAUAAAACAUUCAUGACUACUAUCAGAGUCCUCUGUGCCUCUCACCAGGCCACUGUUAGCACAAUUGCUGUGAAUUUGAACUCUGUUCAUAUUGGCAAGUGAGCAAAACACUGGACAUUUACAAGGCCUUUGACUUUUUAGUAUGGAGGUACCUUUUUAAAGUUUUAGAACACUAUCAGAUGGAUAAAACAUUCAUGACUACUAUCAGAGUCCUCUGUGCCUCUCACCAGGCCACUGUUAGCACAAUUGCUGUGAAUUUGAACUCUGUUCAUAUUGGCAAGUGAGCAAAACACUGGACAUUUACAAGGCCUUUGACUUUUUAGUAUGGAGGUACCUUUUUAAAGUUUUAGAACACUAUCAGAUGGACAAAACAUUCAUGACUACUAUCAGAGUCCUCUGUGCCUCUCACCAGGCCACUGUUAGCACAAUUGCUGUGAAUUAGAACUCUGUUCAUAUUGGCAAGUGAGCAAAACAAGGUUGUCCCCUGUCCACAUUGCUCUUUGCUGUUUCUCUGGAACCAUUAGCAGUUUCAUUACGUCUUAACUCAUGUAUCAAGGGUUAUCAGGGAAAGGCUGAAUAGCAUUUAUUAAACUUUUAUGCUGAUGACAUGAUGUAUAUGUUACCUAACCCUCAGGAGGCCCUACCAAUAUUCAAAUUAAGAAUUAGGAAAAUUAAAAAAUUAAUACUGGGUCUUAGAACUAAUCUUAAGAAGUUGCUAAUAACGUGUUAUAACAGGUCUGAUGGAAGAAAUCAAGCUUAAGCAAAUGACUCAAGCUAAGUUGUAUUAUCGUUGGAUCCAAUAAGAAAUGGGUUGAUGUGGAAGGUGAAAUGAUACCAGACACAAAAAUAUGGGUGCUUCCUUUUAUUAGACUCUCCAAAACAACUUUAGAUACAAUGCAUAACCCAUACACAUUGAAUAUGCUAUAGGUAUAGAAAAGAUGGCAACGCUGUCAGUCUCCUUUAUGCUUGCCUCUAAUGCCACAGUUUUCACUCUCAAGUCCAGGAUUCAGCCUUGCAUAAUACAAUCCUGUCAUGGGGGGGGGGCACCCAUUUACAUUCCGUAUUUCUAUGUUAAUGACAAACUAUUAUCCAAAGAACAACUUAAAAUAAAUAGAGGAGAUCCAGGCCUAUCCUGGUUACAAGAAAGAGGUAUUUACAGAAAUUGCGCAAAUUUUAAAGUCUGAAAUUCAGGCAACCCCACAACUUGCAUUAAAAAAUCUGUGGGUUAACAAUCUGAAACAGUUUUCUUCAAUAGGGUUAUUAACUUCGUGGCUGGCAGUUGCAAUACUACCUAUAGCACAAAAAUGGAAGACUUAACAUGAAUUGCCUCCUGCAUUAUGGUGCAAAAAUAUUUGGUCUCUUGCUGAAAAAGUUGACUUUCAACAUUUGGUGUAAUCAAAGGUAAAGAACCUGUGGAACAUGUGCAUGUGAUUUGGUUGGACUUUGGUCGAACAUAUGUCUUAUGUUCCAAUUGACAACUUACAAGACUACUUACCUGCACCUAAAAAAGAAAUAUGUAUUUCCUGAUUAGCAUAUAUGUAUAAAUUGAAUUAUGGUUGUACUUACCCAUUUUAUGUAUGCAUCUCUCCAACAACUUUCUGGGUUGGACUUAAUUGUUCUUCAUUCUUCUGUAAAGAAAAAGAAAAUGUUAGCUUUGUGAAAUGCAAUAAAAGAAGAAGAAGCAGGUAGAUGUUGCAUGGCUGAAGUUGGCUGAUUUUUGCAGAUGUAAGCCAGUGGAGGUUCUCCCCUGAAGCUGUGAUGGACUGGGUGUUUGCUGUUGCACAUUACUUUGCUGGUGUCACCUUGAAGCUUUAAAAGGGGAUUAAACAAAUUCAUGGUGUAUAUAGCUAUCAGUGGCUACUACUCACAGGAUCAAAGGUAUUAUGCCUUUGCAUUGGGGAACAGCGUUGAGAGGGUGG